rnacentral:rRNA from 1 species
CGCGUAGGCGGCCACCGCAAGUCAGUUGUGAAAACUCGAGGCUCAACCUCGAGACGCCGGUGGAAACUGCAAAGCUAGAGUCCGGAAGAGGAGAGUGGAAUUCCUGGUGUAGCGGUGAAAUGCGCAGAUAUCAGGAGGAACACCGAUAGCGAAGGCAGCUCGCUGGGACGGUACUGACGCUGAGACGCGAAAGCGUGGGGAGCGAACA